GGCCGACUAGCUCAGUUGGUUAGAGCGUCGUACUAAUAGCUUGCGUAAGCUUAUGCGAAGGUCGUCAGUUCAAUCCUGGCGUUGGCCA